rnacentral:rRNA from 1 species
GGGAGCGAACGGAAUUAGAUACCCCGGUAGUCCUGGCCGUAAACGAUGGGUACUAGGUGUAGGAGGUAUCGACCCCUUCUGUGCCGGAGUUAACGCAAUAAGUACCCCGCCUGGGGAGUACGACCGCAAGGUUGAAACUCAAAGGAAUUGACGGGGGCCCGCACAAGCGGUGGAGUAUGUGGUUUAAUUCGACGCAACGCGAAGAACCUUACCAGGUCUUGACAUUGAUGGACAGAACUAGAGAUAGUUCCUCUUCUUCGGAAGCCAGAAAACAGGUGGUGCACGGUUGUCGUCAGCUCGUGUCGUGAGAUGUUGGGUUAAGUCCCGCAACGAGCGCAACCCCUAUCUUAUGUUGCCAGCACUUCGGGUGGGAACUCAUGAGAGACUGCCGCAGACAAUGCGGAGGAAGGCGGGGAUGACGUCAAAUCAUCAUGCCCCUUAUGACCUGGGCUACACACGUACUACAAUGGGAGUUAAUAGACGGAAGCGAAACCGCGAGGUGGAGCAAACCCGAGAAACACUCUCUCAGUUCGGAUCGUAGGCUGCAACUCGCCUACGUGAAGUCGGAAUCGCUAGUAAUCGCAGGUCAGCAUACUGCGGUGAAUACGUUCCCGGGCCUUGUACACACCGCCCGUCACACCACGAAAGUCGGAAGUGCCCAAAGCCGGUGGGGUAACCUUCGGGAGCCAGCCGUCUAAGGUAAAGUCGAUGAUUGGGGUG